rnacentral:rRNA from 1 species
UAGUCAUAUGCUUGUCUCAAAGAUUAAGCCAUGCAUGUCUAAGUAUAAACUGCUUUAUACUGUGAAACUGCGAAUGGCUCAUUAAAUCAGUUAUAGUUUAUUUGAUGGUACUUACUUACUCGGAUACCCGUAGUAAUUCUAGAGCUAAUACGUGCGUACAUCCCGACUUCUGGAAGGGACGUAUUUAUUAGAUAAAAGGCCGACCGGGCUUGCCCGACUCGCGGUGACUCAUGAUAACUUCACGAAUCGCAUGGCCUUGCGCCGGCGAUGUUUCAUUCAAAUUUCUGCCCUAUCAACUUUUGAUGGUAGGAUAGAGGCCUACCAUGGUGGUAACGGGUGACGGAGAAUUAGGGUUCGAUUCCGGAGAGGGGGCCUGAGAAACGGCUACCACAUCCAAGGAAGGCAGCAGGCGCGCAAAUUACCCAAUCCUGAUACAGGGAGGUAGUGACAAUAAAUAACAAUACCGGGCCUUUGGUCUGGUAAUUGGAAUGAGUACAACCUAAACACCUUAACGAGGAUCAAUU